AACCAGUUUUCUUUUCCAGAUCACGUAGUGGCUUAUGGGUUGAACAAACCCUCUGGUAUAGGUGGUGCGCUACUUAGAUUCCCUAAGCCAACAUACAAAACAUGGAUUAGAUACCCGUCUAUUAAUACAGAAAAUAUAGGGUAAAAGAAUACGAGCCACAGCUUCAAAUUUAAAGACUUUGGCGGUGUCUUAUCAAAUUAAGGGAACCUGCCUCGUAACUCGACAGUCCACGACUAAAUAACCCUUUAUAGAACAAACAGCCUGUGUACUGCCGUCGUAAGUGAGCCUCUGAAAGAAUGUAGUUCACAAUAAACAUAACAUGUUAUACGUCAGGUCAUAGUGCAGCCAAUGAAAGGGAGACGGUGUGUUACAACCCUAAAAAGGACGCGGAUUUAUAAAGUAAAUAUAUAAUGAAGAUGGACCUAAUUGUAAUUUAUAAGCAUAAAUGAAAACUGAAUCUAAGACAUGCACACAUCGCCCUCAUUCCCCUAGAAAA
rnacentral:rRNA from 1 species